rnacentral:rRNA from 1 species
GGGGCCCGCACAAGCGGCGGAGCAUGUGGAUUAAUUCGAUGCAACGCGAAGAACCUUACCUGGGCUUGACAUACACCAGAUCGGCGCAGAGAUGCGUUUUCCCUUGUGGUUGGUGUACAGGUGGUGCAUGGUUGUCGUCAGCUCGUGUCGUGAGAUGUUGGGUUAAGUCCCGCAACGAGCGCAACCCUUGUCUUAUGUUGCCAGCACGUGAUGGUGGGACUCAUGAGAGACUGCCGGGGUUAACUCGGAGGAAGGUGGGGAUGACGUCAAAUCAUCAUGCCCCUUAUGUCCAGGGCUUCACACAUGCUACAAUGGUCGGUACAACGCGUGUGCGACACUGUGAGGUGAAGCUAAUCGCUCUAAAGCCGGUCGUAGUUCGGAUUGGGGUCUGCAACUCGACCCCAUGAAGUCGGAGUCGCUAGUAAUCGCAGAUCAGCAACGCUGCGGUGAAUACGUUCCCGGGCCUU